UACGAAGGGGACUAGCGUUGUUCGGAUUUACUGGGCGUAAAGCGCGCGUAGGCGGAUCGCUAAGUCAGGGGUGAAAUGCCAAGGCUCAACCUUGGAACUGCCUUUGAUACUGACGAUCUGGAGAUUGGGAGAGGUGAGUGGAAUUCCGAGUGUAGAGGUGAAAUUCGUAGAUAUUCGCAAGAACACCAGUGGCGAAGGCGGCUGUCUGGUCCGGUUCUGACGCUGAGGCGCGAAAGCGUGGGGAGCAAACAGG
rnacentral:rRNA from 1 species